GCGCGUGCCGGGUGUCCGGUGCGAGCCCGAGGGGCUGCGAGUCACCUGAGGAUCCCCCGAGAGCCUGGAGACGGCCAGGCCCGAACGUCUCUGGGGACGCGACGGAGUCCUGGGUCCUUUCAGGCCGGCUCGGUGCGGUGGCCGAGCCAGCUGCGUGGAGAGAGGCGGAGGACGUUGUUCCAGCUGCUCUCUGCCCGGCUCCGGGUUCCAAGGAUGUUUCCUGAGUAAACGGGGACCCCCCCCCCCUCCUCUGCGCCCUCCGGGUUGGGGCUCUGCCAGGCCCUGUACACCGGGAGAUAGGACACUUGGAUUCGAACCCGUAGCAGAGGUGUAAUUUCAUUCGAAGUUACCUCCCCAGCCAGGUCCCCGAAUUUGGGCCACACGCUUAGGCUGCAGGCGGCUUUCGGGCCAGUACCCUAAGACCAGAGACUUUCAACUCCUGACUUCUCACCUCCACCUGCUCCUCAAGAUCAGUCAGUUUUGGUGUGCAGAGUCCUGUGCCAGCCACUAAAGUAAGCACACAGGUCAGCCAGACCAUCCCCCUCCGGGUGUCACCCCCAAAGCAAUUGAAAUGGGGAUGGAUGAGUUACAGUCAGGAAUGCUGUGUACUAGAGAGGCUUAGUAGUGCGCGCAAGCAACCGAAAGGCUUUUAAUUGAAGUGGUAUUUGACUGUGCCCUUGUGCAGUGACUACAGGAGUGAGUGUUCAUGGCACCUAUUCCCUGCAAAGUCCUUUCUUUCUCCCAGAGUCCCACUUCGUCUUUCAGCUCACCUUUUCCUCAUUCCAGCUGCAGCCCUGAACUACUCUGGGUCUCCAGUUAAGCUCUAGUCUUCCCAAGUAACCUGCUUAGAUGUCUAGAGUUGUAUUGGGCAGGACUGGGAGCUGUUGGAAAGAGGGUCGCUGCAGAUGUAGCUCUGGAGGGGUAUCACCCACAGUGGGCUGCACCUUCCCACAGUCAGUAAUAAGUCAAAAAAAUGCCCCACGCGCCAAUCUGAGGAGGUCAGUUCUCCCCUUGAGCGUCUCCUUCCUCGAUGACUCUAUUUUCUGUCAAGUUGACAAAUCAACAAACAGACAAACAAACUCACCAGCACCUUGGGAAGCCACCCAACAAGUGUGACCAGGGAGCUACAGCUUCAGGGCACGCCAGUGUGCAUGCAGGCCAGCCAUAAGAAGCCAACCUUAACACCUGCUCUUCCCUUUGAGAGAAAAGUCCCUCCCCAGAGAGAUAACACUAAAUUUGGAUCCUUUCUGAUGUCAUAGUCUAUCAGUUUAAUUUGACUUUAAUGGUAUGCGCAGACUUAGUGCAAAAGGUGUGCAGCUAGCCAGCCCACAGUGGUAAAAUGUCCCACUGUUUUCCACGGUGGGAAAAAAAAAUCAGCUAAGAAUAAGAGCAUUAGCCAGGCAGUGGUGGCCCACGCUUUUAAUCCCAGCACUUCGGAGGGCGAGGCAGACAAAUCUCUGUGAGUUCGAGGCUAGCCAGGUCUACAGAGCUACACAGAGAAACCCUGUCUCAAAAAGGAAUGAGAGGGUUAGUUUGCAGAGAGCAGCGGUGCUCCUGGGCAGUUUCAGAGUGGAUGGAAGCACAGAUUUCUCAGUAACCCCCCCCCACACACACACACACAUUGUUUCCUCAGUCUGCUCUCUUGUGAUUGGUGUUCACCCAGUCCUCCAAGCCAAUACAUCUCCAACAGAACUGCUAGGGACAUCAGAUGCUGUACCACACUGGAGUUUGUUUUGGAAGAGUGACAUUCUGAGCACAAAGGUUAAGUCCAUUAUCCUCAUGGUGGCACGCAGGCAGACCUGGUGCUGGAGAAGUUGCUGAGAGUCGAACAUCUUGACCUUCAAUCAACAGGAAGAAAACUGAGACAUACCAAAGGAGCAUCUCAAGGACAGAAGUACUGAGCCAUGAGGUUUCUUAUUGUGCAGUUUUACCAGGUAACAAAAAAAUGUUUUCCAGACAGGUGGUGGUGGCGCAUGCCUUUAAUGCCAGCACUCAGGAAGCAGAG